ACGGAAGGCAGCAGUGGGGGAUAUUGCACAAUGGGGGAAACCCUGAUGCAGCGACGCCGCGUGAGUGAAGAAGUAUUUCGGUAUGUAAAGCUCUAUCAGCAGGAAAGAUAAUGACGGUACCUGACUAAGAAGCACCGGCUAAAUACGUGCCAGCAGCCGCGGUAAUACGUAUGGUGCAAGCGUUAUCCGGAUUUACUGGGUGUAAAGGGAGCGCAGACGGCAUGGCAAGCCAGAUGUGAAAGGCAGAGGCUCAACUCCUGGACUGCAUUUGGAACUGUCAAGCUAGAGUAUCGGAGAGGUAAGUGGAAUUCCUAGUGUAGCGGUGAAAUGCGUAGAUAUUAGGAGGAACACCAGUGGCGAAGGCGGCUUACUGGACGAUAACUGACGUUGAGGCUCGAAAGCGUGGGGAGCAAACAGGAUUAGAUACCCUGGUA
rnacentral:rRNA from 1 species